rnacentral:rRNA from 1 species
UACGAAGGGUGCAAACGUUGCUCGGAAUCAUUGGGCGUAAAGCGCACGUAGGCGGCAUUCUAAGUCGGAUGUGAAAUCCCUCGGCUCAACCGAGGACGUGCAUCCGAAACUGGAACGCUCGAGUAUGGAAGAGGGUCGCGGAAUUCUCGGUGUAGAGGUGAAAGUCGUAGAUAUCGGGAGGAACACCAGUGGCGAAGGCGGCGACCUGGGCCAAUACUGACGCUGAGGUGCGAAAGCGUGGGGAGCAAACAGG